UGAAUCAAUGACGAGUGUCCUGAGGUGUUUGAAUUAAGGAUUUUGAUUAAACUCUAUAGGUCCGAGGUCAU
rnacentral:snoRNA from 1 species